GUAAAAUCCACUAUUCUGAUAGAUAUGAUGAGGCAUUUGAAUUCAAUAUCAUGUUAAAAUUUUUAUAAAUUUUCACCUAAAACACAAAUCCAAAUUUAAAUUCAUUUUAAAUCUAGGAAAUUAAUGAUUUAUAAAUAGUUCAAGUGACACUCAGAACAUAUUGUUGGUACAAGAAUUCUAUAAAGUGCAUCCAACUGAUUGGAUUGCAUGCUCAACAACCAAGAACCCUUUUACAUUUUUGUCUAAUUUACCUUGGCUUCCUUCGCAUUCCCAUCCGAGAUUUUGCAUAUCUUGAUUUCUUAUUAAGCAAAACAUGCAGGAAAUAAUUUGCAGGGAAAAAACACAAGGCUAUGUUUGGUAGAGGGAGGAAAAUGGAAGGAUAUUGAAAACGCGAGGAAAAUGGGAACGGGUUCUACAUGACAAGAAAUAAAUGACAGCUCCACUUUCCUCCAUUUUUCCUUCCUUGCCCCCAUUUUCCUCCUCCCAAACUGACAUAAAUGAACUUUUCAAAAGGAUACUCUAAUCGCAUGCCUUCACCUGUCGAUGAUGAGUAGAGAAUUGUGCCUUGCAGAUGAUUUAGUGCCCCAGUUGAACAGGAAGUAUCCUGGAAAUCAACAAAUGCAACUGGAGACCCAUAAGUGCUUUGCAUCUUCAAUUUCAAAAACCCAGGACAUCUUGAAAAUACUUGAAUUAGUUCUUGCUCUGUACAAUUUGGUCCCAGAUUAGCCACAAAAAGUGUCGGACAUGGGGGUGAUGAAGAAUUAGUCUGUCAGUGUAAGAAUAUUCACUAUUCAGAAUUGGAGAAUCCAUUCACGUGAACAUCAUGUCCCUUUAUUUGAAUGAACCUCGAUAUCCAGAUAUAAAACGGAUCCAUGACAUGAUAACAAUAUGCAAAGGUUCCGCAAUGAAUGCAAGUUAAAAUAGGCUUAGGAAUACACUUCAUAUAAAAUAAUCUCCCAAUUGGGGAAAAACAUUUGGAGUUUGGACACAAUUAUUCACAAGCAUCGAGAGCAAUGAGUUCACGUAGAUCCAUAAUUAUUCCCAAUAUCUUAUUAGAAUCAGAUUGACAUUUAAUGAUGCAUCUGACUGACGUGAAAUCCUGGAAAAAAUGCACGAUCUCUAGAAAUUUCUUUCUUGGCUUUUUUAUUAAAUCUCCUAAAUGGUGUUAAAGGCCAAAAGUCCAUCUGCUGCCUGCUUUUUUAAACAUUUUAAGAACAUCAGCUCUUAGAUUUCCUAGUGUUAGUGUGUUACUGAAUUAUGAUACAAAACAUUCUAAGAAUUUCUAAAUGCCAGGGAAAAAAGUUUCAAAAGUCGAUUUCUAGAUAUGCAUUGGAGGAGAUUGCAUCAUGAACUGAAAUUGAUAUCUUAUGAAGGACUGAAAAUCAUACAUUCUAUCUAACUAGGUGGACAUGAUGUGUCAGCAUCAAUUGGUUGUGUUGCAUAAUUAAUAGCAGCAACUACUAUAGGAUGCUAUUUGUUCCUCAAGGAUUCCAAAACUUAAAAAUUUAGUGGGUCAGGAAGGGGAGGGGGGGAAAUUUUUCAAACAUAAAGGAUUGGAAUUGAAUUGUUCAAAUAGUUGAGUAAUUGACCAUCUAUCACAAUGUGUGCAAUCAUCUUCAAGGGCAAAAACAAGGGCAAGCAACUUACAGAAACCUAUAUAAAAUGAAAUGUCUUACCAAAUUUGCCCCUGUUGACUCACUUACAGCUCGGCCAUCAAAGUUCCCAUGACUGCAUGAUUCAAAAACAAAACAGUAACAAGAAAGGCUUGAAUCGAUAUAAGAUGAAGGUCAUAAAAGGCAGAUACUGUACUCCCACUACAGGUAACAGGGCAUGCAGUAACUGAUAUUACUAAGCCCUUGACCUUUCAGCUAGAAGUAAUCAAUAAAAGUGAACGUGCUAAUUGAGCUAGAAAUAGUCACUUCCAAAUAAAGAUGUGCUCAAGUAGUGCAGACGACCUUUGUGCAGAUGGAUAACCAAUCGUGUUGUAAGCAGAAUUACCCAUUCCAGGCAAGUGGACGCUGCCAAAACCUGCUAGUGCCCAAGCGUGCAAAACGUGCAAUGUGAGCUUUUAGAAGAAUGUGUUCUCCAUGUGAUUGAGUAAUUGAUUUGUAUUCCAUGAUAAUAGAAGCAAAACACAACUAAUAAUAAGAGUAGAGUGUAGAAAUAUAACUCAUUUAAAAGACCCGCAAAGAUAAUUAGAAAGAAAGUGAAGUUCCACAAAUCCUCAAAAUUUUGGACAGUCAUCUUACCUGAAUCAAGAGUACCACGUGCUAUUGCAGGAGAAGCUUUAGCUUUCUUAUCCAAGCCAGACCAUUCAUCAUCUAAUUCUCAAAACCAUCAAGUACACAAAUACAGUUUCAAAUAAGUUAAAAUCAAGGAUAUACAAACAAGUCUACCAGAGAAUAAAGGAAUGAUAAUUUGCAAGUAAUAAACCUGUUCUUGAGCGCUUAGAUCUGGAAUUAGAUUUUGCAAGGUCAAUAUAUAGGGUUGAACCCUUCUCAAGAUCAAAAACCAUCCCCUGAAUCAAUGUUCAGAACCAAGAUUAAUCAGCUUACACUAUCACAUCCAGUGUUCUGCGUUAUUGCAGCUUCCUGGUGCCUCUGAUACACCAGUUUGUACAAACUAUGGUUACAACUUACAACUCACAAGUGAAGAAUGAAAAUCAUACAAUUAACCUUGAUAACAAUUUUACCACAAAAAAAGGUCACUUUUUAGUGCCUUCCCAUGCAAAUUUCUAAAUAUUCCCAUUUUCUGAUAUAUUCUCAGAUUUUUCUCUUAUUUAAAGCAUAAAAAAUUGUAUUACAAUAUUUUAUGAACAAAAGUUUCAUAUGAAACAACUCUUCAAACAUUCAAAAUAUUCAGGAUCAAACAUGAAAAACUGUCCUUACAUUCAGUGCAUGCAUAGCUGCAACUGCAGAUGGUUGAUCCGUGAACGUAGCAAAGGCGAAUGGCUGAGAAGUCUGGGUAGGGCUUCGGAGAUGAGAAGACUCGUAACCAGGGAAUUCCCGGAAAAGAUUGUAGAUUUCGCGAGGCUUGACGUCCUCUGGUAGACCCGCCACGAAAAGCGUACGUACCAGAUCGUGAGUGGCAUGCGGGGUAUAGGGAAGGGCGUAGGAGGCAAAAGGCUGAUGUGGCUGUGGCUGAGGGAUAUAUGGAGGAGGUGGCGGCGGCGGUGGAGCAGGAGCAGGCGCCGGCAGAGGUGGUGGUGGGGGUUGGUAGUAGGUGGGGUAGUGACCGGGCGGUGGUGGUGGGUAGUAAGCAGCCAUACUUUCAUCCAUUGAAAGGAAUCCAAGAUUCCGAUUGGGGUUGGUGUUUUAAUCGCAAGUGUUUUAAUCGCAAGUGCGCUGAUGAUUGGGCCGAGGAGCGAGGGCUCGCAAACCCAUCAUAUUUCAUGUCUCCGACUGUGAGCGUUCCUAAAUUCUCCCAUGUU
rnacentral:misc_RNA from 1 species